rnacentral:rRNA from 1 species
AUCGAACGCUGGCGGCAGGCUUAACACAUGCAAGUCGAGCGGGGUGAUGGUGCUUGCACUAUCACUUAGCGGCGGACGGGUGAGUAAUGCUUAGGAAUCUGCCUAUUAGUGGGGGACAACAUCUCGAAAGGGAUGCUAAUACCGCAUACGUCCUACGGGAGAAAGCAGGGGAUCACUUGUGACCUUGCGCUAAUAGAUGAGCCUAAGUCGGAUUAGCUAGUUGGUGGGGUAAAGGCCCACCAAGGCGACGAUCUGUAGCGGGUCUGAGAGGAUGACCCGCCACACUGGGACUGAGACACGGCCCAGACUCCUACGGGAGGCAGCAGUGGGGAAUAUUGGACAAUGGGGGGAACCCUGAUCCAGCCAUGCCGCGUGUGUGAAGAAGGCCUUAUGGUUGUAAAGCACUUUCAGGAGGGACGAAGCCACUCGGGUUAAUAGCCCAGAGGGUGACGGUACCUCCAGAAGAAGCCCCGGCUAACUACGUGCCAGCCGCCGCGGUAAAAC